AGGGUGUAAACGCUGCAGACUUGGUGUUGGAGGCCCUUUGGGGGGCAUUCAGUGCCGGAGAGGAGUUGUUAAGUCUGCUACUUGGGGAGUACGUCCGCAAGGAUGAAACUUAAAGGAAUUGGCGGGGGAGCACCGCAACGGGAGGAGCGUGCGGUUUAAUUGGAUUCAACACCGUAAAACUCACCAGGGAAGACUGUUACAUGAAGGCCGAGAUGAAGACUCUGCUAGAUUUUCAGAGAGGUGGUGCAUGGCGUCAGUGACU
rnacentral:rRNA from 1 species